rnacentral:lncRNA from 1 species
CCCAAUUUGAUAUAGUUUGGAUAUGUGUUCCCUCAAAUCUCAUAUUGAAAUGUAAUCCCCAAUUUUGGAGGUGGGGCCUGGUUGGAGGUGUUUGGGUUAUGGAGUGGGUCCCUUAUGGCUUGGGGCCGACUUUGCAAUAGUGACUGAUUUCUUGAGAGAUCUGGUUGUUUAAAAGUGUGUAUUACAUUCCCCCACUACUCUCUUGUUCUUGCCUAGUGAGAUGCCUUGCUCUCCCUUUGCCUUCUGCCAUGAUUGUAACCUUCCUGAGGCCUUACCAGAAGCGCAUGCCGGUGCUAUGCUUCCUGUACAGCCUGCAGAACGAGGCCACAAGUUCCAGAUGGCAUUACUACAAGGGAGGAGCAACCUGGAUUCCUGGAUUUCUGCUCAGAAGAGGACUGCCCUGGAGAGCUACUCAGUUACACUUCAAAUAAGCGAAAAUAAACUUUUAUUUUAUUAAGCCAAUGGGAUUUCAGGGUUUGUUAUCACACAGCAUAGAUUAUCCCAGGAGUUCUCAAAAUGUGAUUCCCAGACAGCAGCAUCAGCAUCUCCUGGGAAUUUGUUAGAUAUGCAUAUUUUUGAGCUCACCUGAAGUCUAGUAAAUCAGAAACUGAGGGUGGGACACAGUGAUCUGUGUUUUAGCAGGCCCUGCAAGUGAUUCUGAUACACUCUAAAGCUUUGAGAACCAUAGGUCUAAACUACCUCAUCAAUAUGGCAGAAUCCUUGAUCUCCAGGAUCUCACAGUCUAAUAGACAGAGGCCCUUGUAUCCUAACCUCUUCUCAAUUUUCCCAAGUCCUUCUUGCCUUUGCUGAAACCAGCCCAUCUUCUGAGGACAGGACGUUUCUUAUAGCUCUCUCAAAGCAGUGCUAUUUAUUCUUUUACUACUCGUGCCAAACCUGCGGUUGGUGAUGAAACAAACUGUUGUUAUCUUUGCUUCUUCCAACUUAGCACUCUCUUACUCUUCUAU